GUUGUAUAGUCAAGUAAUUAAGUGCAUGUGGUGGAUGCCUUGGCAGUCAGAGGCGAUGAAAGACGUGAUAGCCUGCGAAAAGCUCCGGGGAGGCGGCAAAUAUCCUUUGAUCCGGAGAUGUCUGAAUGGGGGAACCCACCUACUUUAAGGUAGGUAUUGCAACAUGAAUACAUAGUGUUGCAAGGCGAACGAGGGGAAGUGAAACAUCUCAGUACCCUUAGGAAAAGAAAUCAAUUGAGAUUCCCUCAGUAGCGGCGAGCGAACGGGGAUCAGCCCAUUAAGUUAUGUGUGUUUUAGUGGAACGCUCUGGGAAGUGCGAACGUAGAGGGUGAUAUUCCCGUACACGAAAGGGCACACAUAAUGAUGACGAGUAGGGCGAGGCACGUGAAACCUUGUCUGAAUAUGGGGGGACCAUCCUCCAAGGCUAAAUACUCCUGACUGACCGAUAGUGAACCAGUACCGUGAGGGAAAGGCGAAAAGAACCCCUGUGAGGGGAGUGAAAUAGAUCCUGAAACCGCAUGCAUACAAGCAGUGGGAGCACCUUCGUGGUGUGACUGCGUACCUUUUGUAUAAUGGGUCAGCGACUUAUAUUCAGUAGCAAGGUUAACCGUAUAGGGGAGCCGUAGAGAAAUCGAGUCUUAAUAGGGCGUUUAGUUGCUGGGUAUAGACCCGAAACCAGGCGAUCUAUCCAUGAGCAGGUUGAAGGUUGGGUAACACUAACUGGAGGACCGAACCCACUGUCGUUGAAAAGCCAGGGGAUGACUUGUGGAUAGGGGUGAAAGGCUAAUCAAGCCUGGUGAUAGCUGGUUCUCCCCGAAAGCUAUUUAGGUAGCGCCUCGGACGAAUACCAUAGGGGGUAGAGCACUGUUUCGGCUAGGGGGUCAUCCCGACUUACCAAACCGAUGCAAACUCCGAAUACCUAUGAGUACUAUCCGGGAGACAGACUGCGGGUGCUAACGUCCGUAGUCAAGAGGAAAACAAUCCAGACCGCCAGCUAAGGCCCCAAAAUCAUAGUUAAGUGGGAAACGAUGUGGGAAGGCAUAGACAGCUAGGAGGUUGGCUUANNNNNNNNGAAGCAGCCACCCUUUAAAGAAAGCGUAAUAGCUCACUAGUCGAGUCGGCCUGCGCGGAAGAUGUAACGGGGCUAAAACUAUGUGCCGAAGCUGCGGAUGUAUACUUUGUAUACGUGGUAGGGGAGCGUUCUGUAAGCCGAUGAAGGUGUGUUGAGAAGCAUGCUGGAGGUAUCAGAAGUGCGAAUGCUGACGUGAGUAACGACAAAACGGGUGAAAAACCCGUUCGCCGAAAGACCAAGGGUUCCAGUCCAACGUUAA
rnacentral:rRNA from 1 species